AUGCGUGAAAUGAAUGACCGGCCUUGGGGAAUGAUGCUCAUGGCGAAGUUUAAGUGUCCUAAAAGGGACAGCAUGUCGCGUUUAGUAGCGGCGUUACGCGACGAAAACUCCCCAGUGAAGGAUCUGAUGCUGUUUCUAUCACUGUGGUACACGUUCGGCGGCGGCACCAGACUGGAAGUUGGCAGUGUAACUCGUCCAACUGUAACUGUUCUGCCGGCGUCCAGUGAAGAGAUUUCCAGUAAGCAGACUGCAACACUGAUGUGUGUGGUCAGCAAGGGCUUCCCUUCAGACUGGAGCUUGAGCUGGAAGGUGGAUGGGAACAUCAGGUCUCAGGAGAAGAGCGCUGGACUCCUGCAGAAUGACGGUCUGUACAGCUGGAGCAGCAGUCUGACUCUCUCUGAACACGACUGGAUCAAGAGCGUCUCAGUGAGCUGUGAGGCCACACGAGGAGACCAGACAGUCACUGGACAAGUGAAGAGAGAUCAGUGUUCUCAAUAGAUCCUCUGUCUUCUGCUCUCUUCUUCUCAUUCAUGUCUCACAACAGUGGCUUUCUAUUCAUUUGUGCUUCAUUCAUUCAGUGCUGAGUGUCUAUUGCUAAAAUUCAAUAAAAGACAAAUAACAAAUGA